UAGGGAAUCUUCCACAAUGGCGCAAGCCUGAUGGAGCAACACCGCGUGAGUGAAGAAGGGUUUCGGCUCGUAAAGCUCUGUUGUUAAAGAAGAACACGUAUGAGAGUAACUGUUCAUACGUUGACGGUAUUUAACCAGAAAGUCACGGCUAACUACGUGCCAC
rnacentral:rRNA from 1 species